rnacentral:rRNA from 1 species
ACGAACGCUGGCGGCGUGCUUAACACAUGCCAGUCGAACGAUGAAGCGGUGCUUGCACCGUGGAUUAGUGGCGAACGGGUGAGUAAUACGUGAGUGACCUACCUUUGACUCUGGGAUAAGCCUGGGAAACUGGGUCUAAUACCGGAUACGACCAAUCUCUGCAUGGGGUGUUGGUGGAAAGCGUUAUGGAGUGGUUUUAGAUGGGCUCACGGCCUAUCAGCUUGUUGGUGAGGUAAUGGCUUACCAAGGCGACGACGGGUAGCCAGCCUGAGAGGGUGACCGGCCACACUGGGACUGAGACACGGCCCAGACUCCUACGGGAGGCAGCAGUGGGGAAUAUUGCACAAUGGGCGCAAGCCUGAUGCAGCGACGCCGCGUGAGGGAUGACGGCCUUCGGGUUGUAAACCUCUGUUAGCAUCGAAGAAGCGAAAGUGACGGUAGGUGCAGAGAAAGCGCCGGCUAACUACGUG